GACAAACGCUGGCGGCGUGCAUAAAACAUGCAAGUCGGACGAGCCAAUCCCCGCAAGGGGAAAGGCUAGUGGCGAACGGCUGAGUAACACGUAGGUGAUCUGCCCUGAAGUGGGGGAUAACGACUCGAAAGAGUCGCUAAUACCGCAUGUGACCACCGAUCCGUUUUCGGUGCUCAAAGUCGUAAGACGCUUUAGGAGGAGCCUGCGGCGGAUUAGCUAGUUGGUGAGGUAAUGGCCCACCAAGGCUUCGAUCCGUAGCUGGUCUGAGAGGAUGGCCAGCCAGACUGGGACUGAGACACGGCCCAGACUCCUACGGGAGGCAGCAGUUAGGAAUUUUGCGCAAUGGGGGAAACCCUGACGCAGCCACGCCGCGUGCGGG
rnacentral:rRNA from 1 species